rnacentral:rRNA from 1 species
GAAGAGAGAGUUCAAGAGUACGUGAAACCGUUUAGAGGCAAACGGGUGGAACCGUACAGUCUACCCGGGUGAUUCAAGGCGUCGAACGGCUGCGGGCGGCGAGUUCACGGAUCCGUAGGACCGGCUCGUCGUCCGGCGGUCGCCGGCGCCUGCACUUCACCCGGGGAGAGCGCCACGACCGGUUUGCCGGCGGUCACAAGCCCGCGAGGAAGGUAGCUCCCGCCCCUCGGGACGUGAGUGUUAAGCCUCGCGAGGCGUUGGCCCGCCGGUGGACCGAGGAUUUCCCGCCGCACCCGCCCGAUGGCUCGGGCGUCCGUCCCGUUCGGUGCGUUCGACUUGCGAGGACUGACCUCAGUGCUCGCAGACCGCGUGCCGUCCGGGCUCGGUGCCGCUCCCGAGCAGGUGCCUAGGGUCUGUGGCGAAUCGGUCGGCCCUCCACCCGACCCGUCUUGAAACACGGACCAAGGAGUCUAACAUGUGCGCGAGUCAUGGGGUUCUACGAAACCUAAAGGCGCAAUGAAGGUGAAGGCUGCCUUUCGGUAGCCGAGGUGGGAUCCCGGUCACCGAGACCGGGCGCACCACUGGCCCGUCUCGUCUGCAUCGUCAGUGAGGCGGCGCAAGAGCGUACACGUUGGGACCCGAAAGAUGGUGAACUAUGCCUGAGUAGGACGAAGCCAGAGGAAACUCUGGUGGAAGUCCGUAGCGAUUCUGACGUGCAAAUCGAUCGUCAAACUUGGGUAUAGGGGCGAAAGACUAAUCGAACCAUCUAGUAGCUGGUUCCCUCCGAAGUUUCCCUCAGGAUAGC